rnacentral:lncRNA from 1 species
AAUCUCCCCCAAGAUCUAAUAUAACACUCCACCCUCAUUCCUUACAAUCAGCCGCCAACCCCCAAUCUCUCUCUCUCUCAUUUCUCUCUCAAUAAUGAGAGACGCUUGCCAACUCCAUUUCCACCGGCUAAGCUCGCCGGUAAAAUCGUCAGAUCCACUGGCUAAAGGCCAUCCCACCACUACUGUCUCAUUUGCUCACUCUUUCACUCGUCUCCCUCACGCUUCAUGAAGUUGUUGUCGCUAUCUCCAGAGGAGAUAACCGAUCGGGCAGCGACUCGUUCUUUGAAGUUCCACCUCUUCGUCUCUCUUUCUUUUAUGUUAUUGGCUAGAAAUUUUAGAUCUGAAUAGAGGGGUCAUAGAUCUGGCAAUAGGAAUCUUCAGCGACUUGGGGCCUUGUAGACUCUAAUCUACUCUAAUCGUGCUUGUUGACACAAUUUUGGUGUGAAUCAAUCAAUUGCAAUUGAAUGACAAAGGAAUUUUUACUUUCUUGGCUUCUCAGGUUCCGACUGCAACUCGGAUGUCGAACACUCAACAUCAAGAUUUGGUACAUCACAAUCAUCCUCUGUACAUUCAUCCCUCAAAAACACAAGGUUCUGUUCUUAUUUCAAUACAGCUUCAAGAUUCUGAAAAUUACUCUAUUUGGAGUAGGUUGAUGAAAAUUAUUCUGAAUGGUAAAAAUAAACUAGGAUUUAUUCUAAGAACAUAUAAAAAAGAAAUGUAUGAUCUUAGUCUACAUAAAUUCUGGGACAGAUGCAAUGUUAUUGUCUUAGCUUGGAUAACGAACGUUGUGUCUCAAAAUCUAAUUAGCAUUGUGAUCUAUGUUUCUGAUACACAUAAAGUCUGGGAAGACCUCAAAGAGAGGCUUGAUAAGGUAAAUACCUCCAAAGCUUGUUAUUUGCACAAAAAAAAUCGCUGCCCUUACUCAGGGUAUAUCAUAUGUGUCUAUGUACUUUUCAAAACUUAAGGAGCUAUGGGAUGCAUAUGAGACGCUUGCUCUGCCUCUCUCAUGUGGAUGCCCAGAAUCUAUCUGACAUGUUGAGCAUUAUCAAUUACAAAAGCUAUAUAAAUUUUUAACUAGCCUGAAUGAGUCCUAUGAGAAUGCAAAAGAUCAAAUUCUUAUGGAACGACCAUUUCCAAAUAUAAAUCAAGCCUAUGCUAUGAUAGUGAAUGUAGAGAGUAGAGAGCCAAAGGAAGAAUGGAAAUGGUGGGAUCAAUACUAGUAUUGAUAUUGAUGGCAAUGAUUCCACUAUUCUGCUAAGUAGUAGAGGGAAUAACAAUAAUGGUGGUAACAGCAGUUACAAACCUAAAAAAAAACUUUGACUACGGAAGGCUUGUACUUCAGUGUGACUACUGCAAGCUCAAAGGCCACACAAGGGACAAUUAUUACAAGUUACAUGUAUAUCCAUCAGAAUUCAAGUACAAGAAGAAAUGAGGACCACCCAACGCUUAUGCUAACAAUGUGAGUAAUGCAGGAAAUCAGGCAUCUGAAGCACAAGGCUCAUCUCAGCAGGAAGCAUCUGUCUCCACACCACCAGUUCUAGCUCAGUUCUUCACUCCAUAAUAAUAUAAUCAGAUUAUGCAGAUGUUCAACAAAUGGAAGGAAGGAGAACCUAUGGCUAAUGCAGCAUAAAUGGGGACAUCAAGUAUUACUACUGCUCUAAUGUCUAAUAUAGUUGACAAUAACUGGAUAAUAGAUACAGGGGCAACCAAUCAUAUGGUACACAAGUUGAGUCUACUUCACAAAUUUAAGGAACAGUCACAAAUGAGUAAUAAUAAAGUUCAUUUACCUAAUGGAGAACAUGUUGCUAUCAUUAAGACAGGAGAAUCUCAUAUAUUUCAGGAUAAAAUAAUUGGAGACGUACUAUAUGUCCCCGAAUUCAAAUACAACCUACUGUCAAUGUCAAAGAUCAAUAAGAAGUUAGAAUGUUGUGCAGUAAUUUUAUAUGAUUUCUGUUUAUUUUUGGAACUCUCAAGUAGGAAAGUAAUAGGGAUUGGUACAGAAGCGUAUGAUCUCUAUAUUCUGAUAAACAGAGGUAACUCAAGUACACAACAGGUAGCUGAGAACAAGAAUACACUCAAUCAUUCAUCUGUAAAUAUCAUCUCAAAUUCAACUGGUGACAGUGAAGGUAGUUAUAUUAAUAAGAAUAAGAUUGAUCAUAUAUCUCUUUGGCAUAGAAGAACAGGGCAUGCUCUUUUAAAAGUCUUGAAAAAUAUAGAUGGUUUGUGUAAGACUCAGCUAAAGGAUCAGAUUUGUUGUGUAUGCCAUAUUGCUAAACAAGUAAGACUUCCUUUUCUUCUAAGCACUACUGGUUCUGUUAAUCCCUUUGAUCAUGUGCAUGGUGAUGUUUGGGACCCUUACAAAAUUCUCACUCAUGAUGGUAAAAGCUACUUCUUGACUCUAAUAGAUGAUUUCUCUAUAUAUACCUAGAUUUUAUUAAUGCCUGCCAAAGUAGAUGUUAUUGUAGUAUUAAAGGGACUUCCUAAUGUUUGUCACAAAUCAGUUUAGAACAGGCAAUGAUUCAGAAUUCUUCAAUGAUCAAGUGAACAAUUUACUAAAGGAUUACGACAUUGUACAUCAAAGCUCUUGUGUAUAUACAUGAUAAGUUAGGAUUUUAACAUGUUUUAUGCCCCUACUUGCCUAUCCUUUGAUCAUAUAUUGUUACAAAAUAGUCGUAAAUGGCUCACAAGUUGUGCUUGAUUGCAGGUUUGAUCGACAAAGUGACGAAAUGUCAAAGAUCGGCUCAAAAAGGAGUGAAACCUGCUCAAGUAUCAAAAACCAAGAAAUCUAAGGAAAGAAGGCCUAGUGCGGACCGCGCAAAGUUGAAUGCGGCCGCACUAGGUGGUUCAGAGAGUUGGUAAACCAGGCUAGAGGCAACGCAGCCGCGGUACACAUCUCGUAGUCCACGGUGAAGGCUUCGCGGCCGCACUACUCUUUUGUGCGGUCCGCGGUCAUGAGAUUCAGAGAGAUGAAAGUUUGCAAAGACAAUUCCAUGUGGUCUGCGGUCGUGAUUGCGUGGACCGCGCUAGCUUCCUCCGCAGCCGCGGUCCAUUCUACGCGGUCCGCGGAGUCCAAGUUCAGAGAAGCAAAAGUCAAAGUCAAAGAGCCCAGUGUGGCCGCGGUCCAUUUAGUGCGGCCCGCACUGACCCCGUAUGGGUAUUUUUGUCCAGUUUUUCCAGCCUAGUGUAAAUAGAACAUUUUACCAUUUUUAGGUCAUCUUUUGUAUUUAGACGUGAGCUACGCUCCUAAGAAUGUUAUUUGUAGCCAUUUUUUGCACUUUUGCUUUACAUUUACGAUAGAUUCUUGUAGUUUAAUUUUAGUAAUUAAUUAAUAUGUUUAGUUCUUCAUCUAUUUCUUCAGUUUCUUUAUCUAACAUGAGUAGC